rnacentral:rRNA from 1 species
AUUGAACGCUGGCGGCAUGCCUUACACAUGCAAGUCGAACGGCAGCACGGGAGCAAUCCUGGUGGCGAGUGGCGAACGGGUGAGUAAUAUAUCGGAACGUGCCCAGUCGUGGGGAUAACGUAGCGAAAGCUACGCUAAUACCGCAUACGAUCUAUGGAUGAAAGCGGGGGAUCGCAAGACCUCGCGCGAUUGGAGCGGCCGAUAUCAGAUUAGCUAGUUGGUGAGGUAAAGGCUCACCAAGGCGACGAUCUGUAGCUGGUCUGAGAGGACGACCAGCCACACUGGGACUGAGACACGGCCCAGACUCCUACGGGAGGCAGCAGUGGGGGAAUUUUUGGGACAAUGGGCGCAAGCCUGAUCCAGCAAUGCCGCGUGCAGGAUGAAGGCCUUCGG